UGGGGAAUAUUGGACAAUGGGGGCAACCCUGAUCCAGCGAUGCCGCGUGGGUGAAGAAGGCCUUCGGGUUGUAAAGCCCUUUAGGUUGGGAAGAAGGUAAUGUGUUUAAUAAACAUGUUGCUUGACGGUACCGACAGAAUAAGCACCGGCAAACUCUGUGCCAGCAGCCGCGGUAAUACAGAGGGUGCGAGCGUUAAUCGGAUUUACUGGGCGUAAAGGGCGCGUAGGCGGUUGUGUGAGUGUGAUGUGAAAGCCCCGGGCUUAACCUGGGAAGUGCAUCGCAAACGACAUAACUGGAGUAUAAGAGAGGGUGGCGGAAUUUCCGGUGUAGCGGUGAAAUGCGUAGAGAUCGGAAGGAACGUCAAUGGCGAAGGCAGCCACCUGGCUUAAUACUGACGCUGAGGCGCGAAAGCGUGGGGAUCAAACAGGAUUAGAUACCCCGGUAGUCC
rnacentral:rRNA from 1 species